CUGACAUGUAACAAUGCAGACCUCUUCAUGGUGCGGUCAAGGGGUUCCUGUGUGUCCGGCUGCGAGAGGAUUACCCUGUACAUGUUUAAAUAGCACGAGUCGCUUCUAACCCAUUUCACGAGGAAAGAAGCCAGGUCAAGCCUUUAUCAGCUGUCCAUCUGGUUGGCGUGUGACCUUUCACAUCCUUUUGCACUCAACCACCGACGAAUAACGAAUGAAACGAAACAGUGUGAUUGAUCGACUACCACCGGUUUUAUUCAACGUUAGAUAAAACACAGGAAAUCGGUAAAUGGAUAAACGCUUUUUAUUUUAUUGAUUUUCGAUUCCGAUGUAAUCAAUGUUUCACUCCCAGAAAUUAUUUUACGCCUCGUCAACACUUUUAUUUCGUCACGAUUUUAAACUGAACAUUGGUGAUUCUCAUAUUUCACAGUUUACAUAUCGGAAGCUUGUUAAUCGAUUUUUUGAUACUAUUUUUUGUUGACUGAAAAGUAAUUAAUAAAUCUUUUAUUAAUAAUGAUUCAUCCAUAAACAAAGAGACAUUGACGUAAUUUGGACCUUCUAUUUUGAAAAUCUUAGAUUUUAGAUUUACAAAAAUACAAGAACGCAAAAAUACAAAAAUACAAAAGUACAAAAGUACAAGAAUACAAAAUUUCGAAAUUUCUAAGGGACCAAGCCUACCCCAGAAAGCGGUCAUAGUUAUGGCAGUGAUUAUAAUAGCGGAAUGGUAGGAUUACACCGACGUGGUGUCGAUACACUUGAUCACGACCACGGCUUGAACGCAGAGCAUACCCAACACUCUCGCGCCCGCGCUAAAGGCGCGCUCUGAUUGGCCAGUGUUUUUCGUUAAUAAUUUGAAAACGAGGCCUUAACCAACAUUUUGGCAAAGGAGAAAGUUGGUUAGAAUGACCUCAGCAAUUAUCCCUCCACGGGUCCUACCCCAGUUCUGGGACACCCUGUAUAAAAUGCAAAUUAUAAGUUUAAUUUAAUUUAU